ensembl:lncRNA
AGUCAAAAGUAUAUUCCAAUAUAAUUUUACUUACACUUUUCAGAGUCCAAGCUUCUCUCAGACAAGGGGGAGCAUCCACACUUUUCAGAGUCCAAGCUUCUCUCAGACAAGGGGGAGCAGAAGGAUGCAUUGGCUGUUUCUUCUGUUCAGAUGGGAGGGCUCGACAGUGAGGAGUUUGGUCCCAGACUGCCCCCUCCUGGACAAGUGUUCCCCUCAUCUUCAUCACAGGCACAGGAGGAGACAGCUAAGAAACAGAAGCACAAAGCCAAGAAAGAUCACAAACACCGGAAAGAGAGUAAGGUACAGUCAGCUCCCACACUCAGGCCUUGGAAACCAGACCAUAUGCAGCUCGCUGUUUCCAUGGAGAUGUGGAGGAAAGUUCUGUUCAUCUCUCUCUACCCCUUUUGAUUCUUCAUCUCUACUAGCAUAAGAAGAAGAGUAAGAAGCACAAGCAUAAAGGAAAGCAGAAGAAGAAAAAGAAGAAAGCAGAGGAGUCCGACUCCAGCUCGGACGACUCCGACAGCGACGAUGUCGCUGAGUUGGGGGCGGCGUGCACGGUAGAGCUGCUCCAGAGGUCAUGGUCUUGCUCUCGUUACCAGCUGUUUAGCCAUAAUAUACAAUAUUAUCUAGCAGCUUUAAUCAGACAUAAUCUACCUACUUCAUCAAAUAGAUAAAUGUAUUUAAAUACUUGCUGUGUAAGUAAUUGAUUUAUUUGAAUGUUAAAACAUCCCUGGAGAAUAAAACUCUCUCUCUCUCUCUCAGGUUAAAAAAAUCUUCGUGGAAAGAAGUAAAGAAGUGAUUUCUUUGAGAGGGAUAACCCAUCCUCCAUGAGGAUUUUACUACAAUACAUAGUUUAAGGAAAUAAUACCUGUAAAUGACUACUCUGUGCCCAUCUUCAACUUUAGCAAAAUUAAGAAAAUGCCUUGUAAACUUGUACAUGACUUUAAAAUAAAGUUACUCUGAAUGACCCCCCCUACUAUGUUUUAGUCCAUAAUGUAUUAUAAAUCCCCUCACUAUCAGCUUUAUUUGAAACACUUGUUUAAUAAAACACCUUGUAGAUGUAUGGUAAUGGACUAUAGUCCAAAGUCACAUGCAUAAGUUGCCUUAAUAUAGAAGCCUCCAUUGGCUUCACCAUUGUUUCACUGCUGGAUGUGCUAAAAAACGCCUGUGAUGAACUUUGAAUGAAUGGUUGUCAACAGAUGCGUAAUAAUUUUAACAGCACCUAUGAUGUGAGCCUAAUAAAGUGACGAUAAGAAUAAGUGC